rnacentral:rRNA from 1 species
GAUGAACGCUGGCGGCGUGCCUAAUACAUGCAAGUCGAGCGAACGGACGAGAAGCUUGCUUCUCUGAUGUUAGCGGCGGACGGGUGAGUAACACGUGGAUAACCUACCUAUAAGACUGGGAUAACUUCGGGAAACCGUAGCUAAUACCGGAUAAUAUUUUGAACCGCAUGGUUCAAAAGUGAAAGACGGUCUUGCUGUCACUUAUAGAUGGAUCCGCGCUGCAUUAGCUAGUUGGUAAGGUAACGGCUUACCAAGGCAACGAUGCAUAGCCGACCUGAGAGGGUGAUCGGUCACACUGGAACUGAGACACGGUCCAGACUCCUACGGGAGACAGCAGUAGGGAAUCUUCCGCAAUGGGCGAAAGCCUGACGGAGCAACGCCGCGUGAGUGAUGAAGGUCUUCGGAUCGUAAAACUCUGUUAUUAGGGAAGAACAUAUGUGUAAGUAACUGUGCACAUCUUGACGGUACCUAAUCAGAAAGCCACGGCUAACUACGUG